GGAAACUCCGCCUUGCCCUCUUCGGAUUGGAGCAAAGUUUGCAUUGAGGCUGAAAGUGGAUUUUCACAAAAAAGAAAGUGCCGGAUUCCCUCCUUUAUGCAGUGUGCUUCAUGUGCUACAUGAAUCUAAUCCAUGCAAGUCAAACUCACCAGAGCAACACAUAUUCCUUUCACUCUAUGGUAAUACUAAGGAAAGCAGGUAUCCUUGCAAUUGUGGGUACCCAGGUUGUGGUAUGGGGAUUGAGGGAAAGCUGGGUUUUAUAUCUGACCUGUUAUUUCUUUUUAGCAGCCUUUGGAUAACCAGCAUCAAAGUCCCCCCACCUGGAGGUUGCCAGGAUAUGGGUAUGGGUAUGGUUUUAUGAGAAUAGUACAAAACUUGGCAAUCAUGUGGCAUUCACAGUGACUCACGUAUUUGCUACUGCUAGCUCUUGCAGCUCCACCAGGCAGGACUCGGCUUAGCAAGAUGUGAUACUUGCUACAAAAUAUAUAGGUUUCCAUCCAAAUCAGUUAGAAAGUAUUAAGGAAAAACAACAGCACUCGUUAGCACUUAUAAUAUUACCUUUUAAGAUAAUGAAAUGUCUGCAAACAAAUAACGAAGCUCAGAGAGCACCAAGAACUCCAACUCAGGGCAGAAGAAGCUGAACCACAUGUAGGGACAAGAGAUGAUUCGACAUCUAUGGAAUUCGCUACAGCAGGGACUGGGCAUCCCAGAAGAGUUGUAGGAUACCUUCAAAGCAGACUACAACACGCAGAGCCAGUUACCUUGGAACCACCCAGUGAUCUAACUAUCAACCAAUAGAAGGUCUAGCUAUCUACC